rfam:Vigna angularis cultivar Jingnong 6 scaffold43_29, whole genome shotgun sequence.
AUCUGAUGAUGAGGACAACUUGCACAGAGUUUCUUGAAUCUCUCCCAGUACUCAUAUAAGCUCUCUCCACCAAGCUGCCUAAUCCUAGAUAUGUCUUUCCUGAUAGUU